rnacentral:rRNA from 1 species
CCUACGGGUGGCAGCAGUGAGGAAUAUUGGUCAAUGGACGAGAGUCUGAACCAGCCAAGUAGCGUGAAGGAUGACUGCCCUAUGGGUUGUAAACUUCUUUUAUAUGGAAAUAAAACGUUCCACGUGUGGGAUUUUGUAUGUACCAUAUGAAUAAGGAUCGGCUAACUCCGUGCCAGCAGCCGCGGUAAUACGGAGGAUCCGAGCGUUAUCCGGAUUUAUUGGGUUUAAAGGGAGCGUAGGUGGAUUGUUAAGUCAGUUGUGAAAGUUUGCGGCUCAACCGUAAAAUUGCAGUUGAAACUGGCAGUCUUGAGUACAGUAGAGGUGGGCGGAAUUCGUGGUGUAGCGGUGAAAUGCUUAGAUAUCACGAAGAACUCCGAUUGCGAAGGCAGUUCACUGGACUGCAACUGACACUGAGGCUCGAAAGUGUGGGUAUCAAACAGGAUUAGAUACCCCUGUAGUC